rnacentral:lncRNA from 1 species
CUGGACUCAUUUCAGGACUCUGAGCAGAGUUCUUAGGUCUGUAAGCCAAGCCACUUCUGUUUCUCUUUUGAGUUGCUAUAAAGUACAGACGAUUCUACCAACCUUGACACAAACGCCCAGCUGCCCCCAGUUCAGUGCCACAGAGAAAAGCCUUGCAGAACAGGUUGAGUUUGUGGAUGGGCAUGGGGUAGAAGGUAUCAUCUCUUCUCUAUCAAUGACUUGGGUGAUACUUCUGGCAACAAAACAGACAGUUCUCGGCCUCUGUGUUUUCAUUGUCCAACUGAAGAUUAGACAAGAGGCAGCAUGGGGUGGUGGAUAAAUCGUGGACCAGGAUUGAAGCGAAGAUCUGCUCAUCUGGGACACUCACCAGGUUGCAUUCCGUAGAAGCAGAUCCUGAUAAGAUGAUGAAGUGCACAUGUCUCUUGAGAAAAUGCUCUCAGGAGAAGGGGGGAAGGUAAGCCAGGUGCAGCAGAGGACUGAGCAAGGUUGGGGUCUCAGCUGGACACUUCUUGGACCUGUUCCCACGGGAGCUCUGGAGUAUGAACUGUACCACAGAAUUGUCUCACCUAGAGGGAGAAGCUUACUGCUGUUUUCAUGGCUCUGCAUGCCCGGGGAAAGAGGAAGGCCACAGGAAGGUGACAGCUGAGGCAGGGUAUAACAGCAGGUCCCCAGGGUGGGUCAUUCACUGGGCUGACAAUCCAGUUGAUGCUUGCUUGGGUUGGGGCUCUGUGCUAAUUUGGAUGCUGACAGCCAGGUGACAGCAGCAGAGGGAAAGUAAGCUGAGAAGCAGAGAGGGGGAACCUUGAAAUGAUGCCUCUAAACGAUGGUUGACUUGUUUGUGACAUCACACCCCUAAGGCAUAGCUCUUUCCCCUGGGAGGGAUGCUGAGUGGCAAGUAGGCAGGCUGGGUACAUUUCCUUUUGGGAUGUGGUAGCGACAGUGUCCUACAGAGUCAGACUGGUGGCUUUAACAUCACAGGGCUUUGUCCAGCUGGAUCCGGAUAUCCAUUUGUCUAGAUUCCAUUUUCUCUGCUUCCUUUUUUAUUCCAGUAGAUAUAGCAGGCUUUCUCCCUGUAGCCAUGCAGAAGAGAUACAACUCAGAGGUGAUUCCUCUCAAAGGACAUAUUAGAUUCUUGAAGAGAGUCUAACAGGUUUAAGUGGGUCAGAUGCCAUGACUCAACAGCUUCCCCUUGAUCCUUUAAUCUCACAUCUGAAGCAUAAGACCUAUCCAGGUUACUUGGGGCAGCACCACCAUUGUACCAUUAAGGCUUCUCUUUCAGAAGGAUGAAUAAUCCAUCUGCAGCACUAUUUUACACUCUAGUUCAAUUCAAGACUCUGAAUAUGAUUUAUAAGUGUGAGUGAUUAUUUUAAGAUCAACCAGGGUUAAGCCAGGGAAAUUCUGUCCUCUGGUAGGGAGCCUCAAUGACCAGACCACUGUAAAGCCCCAGGAAUGCCAAGAACUCUGAAGAAGAAAGAUUCACCUCUAAGUGAGUUGGAGGAGGCAAAGACAAAAAACAAAAAACAAACAGUACAGGCCUUAGACUAAGGAGUGUGGGAAUGAGUUUCACCUCCAUUUCCAGCAACUGCCACGCAUAGAGUCUCUUCCAAAAAUGCCGGUGGCCUCAAAGAAGAGACAGCUGCUUCCCCAGCCCCUCAUUCAUCACCUGCUUGCUGGCCUAGGACUGAUAAGACAGAUCCAGAUCAAAUUACCUGGCAGCUGGGAGAGCAAGGAGAUAAGGAAAGGCAAGCUUAGGAGAAGUUCAGUAGAGUAGCAAAGAUCAAAUUGUGUAUUAAAUUUUCCAGGAACUAAAACCUUGCUCCCUCUGCAAACCCAGGGGAGGCACCUCCAAUCAGUCAGCACCAAACAGUGUUCCCAGGAGAAAAGCAAUGCCUUCAGCUUCUACUAGGAAUUAAGAAAACAGAGUACUGAGACCAAUUUAUUAUCACGCAGUUGGAUGAUAGGAAAAUGAAAACAAAGGUUAGAGGUGAACAUUAUAGAGGAGCCGAGUGGCCAAUGGCCAGAGAAACUUCAGGCAACAGAAGGAACACUGGGCUGAGCAAAAGACUUGGAUUCUUGUUCUAGCUCCAUCUCUCUCCCUUUGAAAAUGCACUUGAACCCCUCUGGGCUUUAUUUUUUUUUAUUUAUUUAUUUAUUUAUUUAUUUAUUUAUUUAUUUAUUUAUUUAUAAAAUGGUGGGGUGAGGAUUUCUUCAAGCUAAGAUCUUCCUGGCUUGAAGCUCUUAAAAUUUCUUGUUACUGCAGUCUUCCUAAGACAUUCCAUCUGAUGGUUUAUUCUUUUGACUCUGCCAUUUUACUCAACUAAACCUCAAAAUUCUUGACUAUGGAAGCCUCCAGAGGUGUUGUUAAAGCUUUAACUCUUUCAUUAAAAGCCAUGUGACUUGCUUUAUCCAAUGGGAGGUUAGUAGAUGUGACACAAACAAAUGCUCGAAAGAGUACUUGCAUGUUUCCAUUUACGUUUCUGUUCUUGCCUUCUGUCAUCACCAUGACAACAUGCCCAGUCUGGCUCCUGGAGGAUGGGACACACAACGUGGGAACCGGCAAGUCACCAGAGUCAUCUCAGCCAAGAUCAACCAAUAGUCAAUUACCAGGAACGUGAGAGAAUUCUGAGACCAGGACUGCUCAGCCACCUCUGCCUAAAAUACCAACACACAGAACAGUAAAGUGAAUGGAUGUUUAUUAUCCUAAGCCACUAUAUUUUGAGAUUGUACCUCAUGCAGCACUAUUAUGACCAUAGGUGACUGAUAUAAAAAGUAAGGAAUUAUGAAUCAUAAGAAAAAGAUGAACCAAGGAAAGAAUCAGCUUUGAAGAGGUGGUAAACUAUGGGAGUUGGGUAUGCUUUUCUGCAAUGAUCUUGUCUUAUUUUCUUUUUUUUUAAAGGAAGGCCUACCUGAAUAAUUCUGUGCAGGAAGAUAAAAGCAAGAUUAGAGUGAGACCUAUUCAGGGAGGUGUCAUUUUGUGAGCAGUUCAUGACCAUACCCAAUAAUCAGGGUCUGUCUACAUAUCUGAAUUUUAAUCCUUACAUAUAUGGCCUUAGAUGAACUAAAAUAAUUAUAAGAAGUUGUGUCAUUGUAGACUUCUAUUAAUAAACAUAUACCUACAUAUAUACAUGUUUAUGCACAAGAAUCAGCCUGUAUAGGCAUAUUUACCUAGGCAUAUUCAUUGCAUAGUGCUCUCAUGGUUGUGACUUGGGUGGGUGUAGCAAAGUGACAGGCCAGGAUCUCACCACAUAGGAAGAACUUUGGUCUGGCCAAGACAGGGCCAGCUAGUGGCCUCCCUGCCAUUAGCUCUGUCUGCCACCCAAGACAGAAGAAGCCAACAGUCCAAAGGGACAUAGCAGCUUCAUUUUGGUUCUAGUUAGUGGUGCCAUAGAAGAGGAACAGGCAGAUAGGAUCUCAUCUAGGCCAUGAGACAAGCAAGAGUUCUCAAGAAGGGUAGACUCUUAGAAACAGGAGGCCAGUGAGACAUGGAUCUAAGAGGCAUAGCCAGGUAGAAGCAGCCCUAGUCAAUGGCUAGAAGUAUAAUAUCCCAAUAAAAGAGGCAUUCUUAGAAAGCUGGGCAGCAUCUCAGGACCAC